rnacentral:rRNA from 1 species
GAUGAACGCUGGCGGCGUGCUUAACACAUGCAAGUCGAACGAACCUUUUCGGAGGUGAGUGGCGGACGGGUGAGUAACGCGUGAGGAUCUGCCUACAGGACAGGGACAACAGCGGGAAACUGCUGCUAAAACCUGAUGUGCCGAGAGGUGAAAUAUUAAUAGCCUGUAGAUGAGCUCGCGUCUGAUUAGCUAGUUGGUGGGGUAAGGGCCUACCAAGGCGACGAUCAGUAGCUGGUCUGAGAGGACGAUCAGCCACACUGGGACUGAGACACGGCCCAGACUCCUACGGGAGGCAGCAGUGGGGAAUUUUCCGCAAUGGGCGAGAGCCUGACGGAGCAACGCCGCGUGAGGGAGGAAGGCCUGUGGGUUGUAGACCUCUUUUCUCAAGGAAGAUAAUGACGGUACUUGAGGAAUAAGCAUCGGCUAACUCUGUGCCAGCAGCCGCGGUAAU